rnacentral:rRNA from 1 species
GGGGGAAACCUGAUCAGCGACGCCGCGUGUGUGAAGAAGGCCUGCGGGUUGUAAAGCACUUUUAGUGGGGAUGAAAAGCCUGGCGCUAACACCGUCGGGUCUUGACCUAACCCGCAGAAAAAGCACCGGCUAACUCUGUGCCAGCAGCCGCGGUAAUACAGAGGGUGCGAGCGUUAAUCGGAAUUACUGGGCGUAAAGCGUGCGUAGACGGUCAUGCAAGUCGGGUGUGAAAGCCCCGGGCUCAACCUGGGAAUUGCAUUCGAGACUGUAUGGCUAGGGUGCGGAAGAGGGAAGCGGAAUUUCCGGUGUAGCGGUGAAAUGCGUAGAUAUCGGAAGGAACACCAGUGGCGAAAGCGGCUUCCUGGUCCGACACCGACGUUCAGGCACGAAAGCGUGGGGAGCAAACAGGAUUAGAUACCCUGGUAGUCCACGCCCUAAACGAUGCGAACUGGAGGUUGG